GGGGCCAGCAGGAAACUCAAUUCCAGGGUC
rnacentral:piRNA from 1 species